AUGGCGGGUGCGGCGAAGGCGUCGUGGAUGGUGGCGAUGAGCGUGGGCGCCGUGGAGGCGCUCAAGGACCAGGCCGGCCUCUGCCGCUGGAACUACGCGCUCAGGUCCAUCCACCGGGCAGCCAAGGCCAGGGCCAGCGUCCGCGGCAGCGUCUCGCAGGGCACGAAGCAGCUUCCUUCGUCUGCGGCGGCGGUGGCUGAGAGGCGGCGAACGGAGAAGGCCGAGGAGGGGCUGAGGACCGUCAUGUACCUCAGCUGCUGGGGAACCAAUUAG
rnacentral:rRNA from 1 species